UAAACCCUGCCCCUUCACUUUGGGAUAAGCCUGGGAAAACUGGGUCUAAUACUGGAUAUGACUGCGCAUCGCAUGGUGUGUGGUGGAAAGUUUUUGCGGUGGAGGAUGGGCUCGCGGCCUAUCAGCUUGAUGGUGGGGUGAUGGCCUACCAUGGCUUUGACGGGUAGCCGGCCUGAGAGGGCGAUCGGCCACACUGGGACUGAGACACGGCCCAGACUCCUACGGGAGGCAGCAGUGGGGAAUAUUGCACAAUGGGCGGAAGCCUGAUGCAGCGACGCCGCGUGAGGGAUGACGGCCUUCGGGUUGUAAACCUCUUUCAGCAGGGACGAAUUGGACGGUACCUGCAGAAGAAGCACCGGCUAACUACGUGC
rnacentral:rRNA from 1 species